rnacentral:rRNA from 1 species
AUUGAACGCUGGCGGCAGGCCUAACACAUGCAAGUCGAACGGCAGCACAGAAGAGCUUGCUCUUUGGGUGGCGAGUGGCGGACGGGUGAGUAAUGUCUGGGAAACUGCCCGAUGGAGGGGGAUAACUACUGGGAACGGUAGCUAAUACCGCAUAACGUCGCGAGACCAAAGUGGGGGACCUUCGGGCCUCACACCAUCGGAUGUGCCCAGAUGGGAUUAGCUAGUAGGUGGGGUAAUGGCUCACCUAGGCGACGAUCCCUAGCUGGUCUGAGAGGAUGACCAGCCACACUGGAACUGAGACACGGUCCAGACUCCUACGGGAGGCAGCAGUGGGGAAUAUUGCACAAUGGGCGCAAGCCUGAUGCAGCCAUGCCGCGUGUAUGAAGAAGGCCUUCGGGUUGUAAAGUACUUUCAGCGGGGAGGAAGGCGGUGAGGUUAAUAACCUUGCCGAUUGACGUUACCCGCAGAAGAAGCACCGGCUAACUCCGUGCCAGCAGCCGCAGUAA